rnacentral:rRNA from 1 species
CGGACGGGUGAGUAAUGUCUGGGAAACUGCCCGAUGGAGGGGGAUAACUACUGGAACGGUAGCUAAUACCGCAUAACGUCGCAAGACCAAAGAGGGGACCUUCGGGCCUCUUGCCAUCGGAUGUGCCCAGAUGGGAUUAGCUAGUAGGUGGGGUAACGGCUCACCUAGGCGACGAUCCCUAGCUGGUCUGAGAGGAUGACCAGCCACACUGGAACUGAGACACGGUCCAG